UACAGAGGGUGCGAGCGUUGUCCGGAAUCACUGGGCGUAAAGGGCGCGUAGGCGGCUUGAUAAGCGUGCGGUGAAAGCCCGGGGCUCAACCCCGGGUCGGCCGUGCGAACUGUCGAGCUGGAGCACUGUAGAGGCAGGCGGAAUUCCGGGUGUAGCGGUGGAAUGCGUAGAGAUCCGGAAGAACACCGGUGGCGAAGGCGGCCUGCUGGGCAGUUGCUGACACUGAGGCGCGACAGCGUGGGGAGCAAACAGG
rnacentral:rRNA from 1 species